rnacentral:rRNA from 2 species
GGACUACCAGGGUUUCUAAUCCUGUUUGAUCCCCACGCUUUCGUGCCUCAGUGUCAAUACACGCCUAGUGAACUGCCUUCGCAAUCGGUGUUCUAUUACAUAUCUAAGCAUUUCACCGCUACAUGUAAUAUUCCAUCCACCUCGACGUGAUUCAAGCUAAGCAGUAUCAAUGGCAGUUCCGGAGUUGAGCUCCGGGCUUUCACCACUGACUUACAAAGCCACCUACGCACCCUUUAAACCCAGUGAAUCCGGAUAACGCUUGCACCCUCCGUAUUACCGCGGCGGCUGGCAC